rnacentral:rRNA from 1 species
CAGGCCUAACACAUGCAAGUCGAACGAAGGCUUCGGCCUUAGUGGCGCACGGGUGCGUAACGCGUGGGAAUCUGCCCCUUGGUUCGGAAUAACAGCUAGAAAUGGCUGCUAAUACCGGAUGACGACGUAAGUCCAAAGAUUUAUCGCCGAGGGAUGAGCCCGCGUAGGAUUAGCUGGUUGGUGUGGUAAAGGCGCACCAAGGCGACGAUCCUUAGCUGGUCUGAGAGGAUGAUCAGCCACACUGGGACUGAGACACGGCCCAGACUCCUACGGGAGGCAGCAGUGGGGAAUAUUGGACAAUGGGCGCAAGCCUGAUCCAGCAAUGCCGCGUGAGUGAUGAAGGCCUUAGGGUUGUAAAGCUCUUUUACCCGGGAUGAUAAUGACAGUACCGGGAGAAUAAGCUCCGGCUAACUCCGUGCCAGCAGCCGCGGUAAU